AUGAAAACAGUCAUAAAGAAGGCUUUCAUAAAUUCGAAAAAGCCUGUGAUUUUGGUGAAGCGUUCAUCUCGGAAGGAUUUCUUUUGAGCAGUUUAAACAUAACAUGGCGGAGUUCGACGACCCAAGUAUUAAAAUGUAUUUUUAUGAGAACAGGCUGAAAACUUUUGAGGGAUGGCCUUUCAAGGAAGACUGCUCGUGUACACCGGAAAAUAUGGCCGAGGCUGGUUUCAUUCACACACCUGCAGACAACAGCCCAGAUUUAGCCAUGUGUUUCUUUUGCCUUAAAGAGUUGGAGGGCUGGGAGCCAGAUGAUAACCCAGACAAAGAGCACAAGUCUCACUCAUCUACAUGCCACUUCAUUGCCUUGAAGAAAAGAGUGGAGGAGAUGACUGUGGAAGAGUUUUUAAAGAUCCAUCGGGAGAAACAAAAGAACAUCAUUCGUGGAUGAAGAGAGACAGGAGAAGGUGGGCCCGCCGCUGACAGCAGUCAUUCCCCCGCCGACAGAAAUCGUCAGCCAAGGCAAAGAGGAUCCACCAGGAGGUGGCGACUUACAGAACGAAACAAUGUGACGAGGCCAUUAAGAAAUUUGCAGAGGCAGCAAAAAAGAAAAGAGCAGAAAUAAUCAAGACAGCCACAUGCAAAUAAAGCAGAGACCGUAAACUACCGGUAUGUUGAUUUGAUGUUCGGAGACCUUGACAACGUUUUUUGCACUUUUAAAAUGUGCUGCCUGGGCUUCCUUACGUGGACCCCCGACUUAAACAACUUGAAAAACAUAUUCGAGUGUUACCAUUUAGUGGUCAAUUGUACGGAAUAUGUACUGAACUGUGCAAUCUGCUAAUAAAAGUUUC